UUAAAAAAUCAAAAUUAAAUUUAAAAAUCAAAUUUAAUUAUAGAAGAUGGGAUGACAGAAGAUUUGAUGUGGAAAAAAUUACCAACUUUUCCGAUUCAGGGGUUGCUAGGAAAAUUCUGUGUAUUCCCCUUGCUUUGAAGGCCCAGGUAGAUGUUAUCAUUUGGCAAGCAGAGCCUUCAGGAGAAUAUACCGUUCGGAGUGGGUAUAGGUUAUUACAAGGUCUCGGGUAUGCAAAUACAAUAGAAGGGGACAAUUCCUAUAUACCUUUUUACAACAAAUUAUGGAAGCUUAAUUUGCCAGAAAAGGUAAAAAUCAUUUUCUGGCGUAUUUUCAAUAAUCUAAUUCCAAAUUCCUAUAAUUCGUACAAUAAAAGAUUGGUUGGAGCAGCGACUUGCCCUUUUGCUUGAGAAGUGAGGAGACGUUGGAGGAUGGACUGUCCGUUUGCAAUUGAAACCUGGCAUUUGUUAGAUAUCAGAUGGGAGGGAGUAAGAAAUGAUGAAAGUUAUCAACAGUGGAUUCAAAAUUUUUUCACAUUCUGCCUAGUUUUACCUGUCGAAAGAUUGUUUGUGCAGUUUGGUCUCUUUGGUCUAUAAGAAAUAAAUGGGCUCAUACCAAAACAUUUAUCUCACCACGGCAAAUAUUGAGGCAGACCAUUGAUUUUUUGAAUGAAAUAGAUGAGAUUGCAAAGAACCUACCUGUCACCAAGGUGGGGUGCGAGAGGUGCAGGCCACCGGAAGUCCCUUUUAUAAAAAUCAAUUUUGAUGCCGCUUUCCAGGCUACCACAUCAAUAUCUUAUUUGAGAAUAACUGUUAGAGAUGGCAGAUCGAGAAUUUUAAGUAUAAGAGCUUCACCUUUCGCGGCCGAAGCUCUUGCAUGCCUCCAAUCGCUCAAAGUGGGGAGGGAUCAGGGGUUGAGGGAGGUGAUGGAGGGUGAUUCAUUAUCUGUGAUAAAGAAAGCAAGAUCGGAAAAUCUGGACAGAUCAUCCAUUGGCCCUUACAUUUUGGACAUAAAAAAUGAAGCAGGGAAGUUCAAGGAGGUUCGCUUCACCUAUGUUUCACGUUCGGCGAACAAAUCUGCGCAUUCUCUGGCAAAGGAGGGUUUUAGAAGGGAAGAUGACUGGGGUCUCGACCAAGACACGCUGGAGUUGUUUGUGGCUCGAGAGAAUCGGAACUCUUUCACUUACGCCGGCGAGGAAGAUGUGGAGGUGACUGGAUAGAACGAUUUGUUUCUUCCAAAGGAUUGUGAAGGGCGGAGAUGAAGCAAAGAAUCUGGAUGAUUGCUUUGGAACGGGAAAAGGAAAUGUUCCAUUUCCAAAAGAUAAUUCAUGGACCUGUUCUUUUCAGUUUGGAGUGCCCCGAGAAGUGGCGUGCAUUUUUUAGUGGGACUGAGCUCCAUUUACCCUGCUGGGGUUUUAAAUUUUAUUUUAUUUCUUCUUUAUUUUUCUUUUCUUUCUCAGUUUUGCUUGGG
rnacentral:lncRNA from 1 species